rfam:Homo sapiens chromosome 8, GRCh38 reference primary assembly.
GCUGGGCAUGGUGGUGUCAGCCUAUGGUCCCAGCUACUCAGGAGGCUGAGGCAGGAGGAUUGCUUGAGCCCAGGAGGUUGAGACUGCAGUGAGCUAUUAUCACACCACUGCACUCCAGCCUGGGCAACAGAGCAAGACCCUGUCUCUU